CCAGAAGUAGAUAGCUUAACCUUCGGGAGGGCGUUUACCACGGUGUGGUUCAUGACUGGGGUGAAGUCGUAACAAGGUAGCCCUAGGGGAACCUGGGGCUGGAUCACCUCCUUA
rnacentral:rRNA from 1 species